CAAUAGCGUAUAUUAAAGUUGUUGCAGUUAAAAAGCUCGUAGUUGGAUUUCUGGCCGAGUGUCCCUAGGCCAGCUUGACGUUUGGUCCUAGGCGCUCUGCCAUCCUUCUGUUAACCUUCGCCUCGUUCACUCGUGGCGCUGGGGCUCAGAUAUUUUACCUUGAGAAAAUUAGAGUGUUUCAGGCAGGCUUUCGCCGGAAUACAUUAGCAUGGAAUAAUGGAAAAGGACUUCAACCUUCUUCUGUUGGUCUGAGAGGCUGUAGUAAUGAUUAAUAGGGAUAGGUUGGGGGCAUUAGUACUUAACUGUCAGAGGUAGAAAUUCUCCGAUUUAGUUAAAGACUAACUUAUGCGAAAGCAUUU
rnacentral:rRNA from 1 species